UCUGCCCCUGCUCCUCUCCCAUCGUGUACAGAUCCUCCCUGCGCGAGCCUAGGCCCAUGGCCCCGCGUGAACGCCUCGGGUUGGUUGGUGGGCACCUGCCGCCGUAAGGCGCUCACGUCAUGUGCCAGAUCGCGCCGCCGUGGGCGUAGGCGGAGGCCGACAAGGAGAGGCGGUCGUAGCUGCUCUUGCUGGUGAGCGGGGAGGAGUCGAUCGCAACAGAGCGGGCAGGUGGUGCGCGGGCGGACGAGUCAGGCGUCGAUGCAGGCGUGGUGGAAGAAGUGGUGGCACCGCAGCUCGCGCACCUCCUCGCCGUCGCGGACCACGGAGAGGCAGAAGGCGCAUUCCGAGUCCGUCUCUGCCGCCUGCUCCUCCUGGCCCUGCGCUUGCCUGCGGCGGUAGCUUAAAGAUGAAGGCAUCAAUAGCAGUAGUCUGGGCCUGGAGUUGCAGACUCUGUCUCUAGAUCGGAGAAGAGUAGCAGGCGCUGGCUAACGCACGAACAAGCAACAGUGGGUUCUGUUUUAUUAAUAAUAGGUCACUCUGAUUGUCAAGCACUUCGAUGAUACGAGGAUACUGAAUCCUGGCUUGAAGAAUUUAUGCUUGUUUUCGAGAACAAUUGGGGGGAUGUAAAUAAGAUGCCUAAUUCACUUUUAUUAGCUUUCAACAAAAGAUCAUGGAUUCCUGUUAUAAAGAUACUUUCCCGGUUCUGCAUCAUAUCAACAGCUGAUGCGAUUUUCAACCACAUCAUAUCAGCAGCUGAUGCCGAGUUCUUUGACAUUGCUGCAGGAGAAGGACUUGGAGCAGUUCAGGCAAUGGGCAAGCAGCACAGCGGGCUACCCUGAAAACUUUGAGACUCUUGGAGUUAAAAUUACCUCUGGAUCUCUUGGUCCGGGUAUCGCCAAUGCAGAUGGGUUGGCACUUGAUGAGACAACUUUAAUAAAUUGGAUUUUUAUCAAGUGUACGCUUACACAUGUCUAAACUGGUAGAUACCACUGUAGAAUCAACCUUUAAUUAUUU